rnacentral:lncRNA from 1 species
UCUGCUCAUAAAAUCAACUUUAUCAACCACUCAAACAUUGCUAUUGAAUGUGAAGAUAAUUGUAAGCAAGGCCAAUUCAUAUUGAAGGGAUAGAUACUUUUGUGGGUUUAUAUACUCGUACAUAAAACAAGAUCGUCGUGAAUGCGGAGGCAAAAAUCAAAAAGAUUUUUUUAACAGUGACAGAAUAAUUAGGACAAUUAACCUGCUCUUUGUAGCCUCUCUCUGGUGUGACCACCACAGGGUAAAGGCAUGCUUUUGCCAUAAUUUGUAAACUACAGGAAUGGACAUUCUAAUCUAUUCCUGUGUACUUUUUACUGACAUAUUCAUUAAUACUCCUUUUUUAUUUGCUUGAGUUAUGCACAGUCCAGGAUAUUGCUUAAUAGUUUGGAUAGUUUUGUCUCAAUGUAAAAAUUGUUAGAGUUGGUGUACUGGACUUGAUCAUAUUUUGUAUACAGAAAACCAUUUCUUUUGAGAAAUGACAAUAGAAUGGAUGAUUAGACUUGUCUUUUGAAUUUCAUGAUUUUGUCUCAUAUACUAUGAGCACCCUGAACAAUUUUUUUAUAACCUCGAAAUUUAAAGGGAAAGUAAGUCUUGAUGCUGCCUUUUCUUCUAAUCUGGAAUAUUAUGCCAGUCAUCUGAUCUGUGAGUCUGUGACAAUUGAUAACCACCCUCGUCUUUUAGACUACUUGACUGAUACAAAUAUCUCGGUGGAAAGAGAAGUCAUGAACAACAAUGAUAAGAUAUUUUCCAUCAUCAUUUUCAUAUUUUCCUAUCUGUAAAUUUUUCUUCGGAUGUAGGAGUUAAAAUAAAUUGCUAUCUCAAGUUGAUUUACCAAUUCUUUUGCACAGAUGUUGUUGGAUCAGCAAUUGGCUUCCUGGUGUUCGCCCUGAUCCUCUCUUCAUGGUCUGUUACCUUUAUGAUUGGCGGGAACCAACUUUUCGGCCCAGUGUGGGAUAAAUUGGUUAUGUACAAUGUUGCCGAUAGAUAUGGUUUAACUGAAUUGAUGUAGAUCUACAUGUUAGUGGUUUCAGUUCCAUAAUCGACAUGAAUAUGGUAUGUCUUUUCUUUUGCUGAUAUGAAUGUUCAAGUUACUGCAUUGUACUUCACGACAAUGUUAAUUGACUGAUGUUGUACUCCUUGGAGGAGUAAAUUCAUGAGCUAAAGAACCUUUAGCUGUCUAGAAAAGGGUGGCCAGAUCCUGUUUUGUUUUGAAAACAGAGAAUUCGAUCGGAACAUAAAUUUAUUUGUUAUGUGUAGCCAACAUGCUUCUUACAUCAACGAUACGCAAUCAACAACCGAAAACAAAAUACCUAGGAAGACCUAUUGCUUUUAAGAGUGUGAUCGGUUGAGAGAUUUUUUCUUGAUUUAGUUCAGCUUGAGACAUGAUAGGUUUUAAAAAAAUUCUAAUCAUUUGGUAUUUACUCUGCUCAUAAAAUCAACUUUAUCUACCACUCAAACAUUGCUAUUGAAUGUGAAGAUAAUUGUAAGCAAGGCCAAUUCAUAUUGAAGGGAUAGAUACUUUUGUGGGUUUAGAUACUCGUACAUAAAACAAGAUCGUCGUGAAUGCGGAGGGAAAAAUCUAAAAGAUUUUUUUAACAGUCACAGAAUAAUUAGGACAAUUGACCUGCUCUUUGUAGCCUCUCUCUGGUGUGACCACCACAGGGUAAAGGCAUGCUUUUGCCAUAAUUUGUAAACUACAGGAAUGGACAUUCUAAUCUAUUCCUGUGUACUUUUUACUGACAUAUUCAUUAAUACUCCUUUUUUAUUUGCUCGAGUUAUG